GAUGAACGCUGGCGGCGUGCCUAAUACAUGCAAGUCGAACGCUGAAGGAGGAGCUUGCUCUUCUGGAUGAGUUGCGAACGGGUGAGUAACGCGUAGGUAACCUGCCUGGUAGCGGGGGAUAACUAUUGGAAACGAUAGCUAAUACCGCAUGACAACAGUUAUUGCAUGAUAACUGUUUAAAAGGGGCAACUGCUCCACUACCAGAUGGACCUGCGUUGUAUUAGCUAGUUGGUGAGGUAACGGCUCACCAAGGCGACGAUACAUAGCCGACCUGAGAGGGUGAUCGGCCACACUGGGACUGAGACACGGCCCAGAGUCCUACGGGAGGCAGCAGUAGGGAAUCUUCGGCAAUGGACGGAAGUCUGACCGAGCAACGCCGCGUGAGUGAAGAAGGUUUUCGGAUCGUAAAGCUCUGUUGUAAGAGAAGAACGAGUGUGAGAGUGGAAAGUUCACACUGUGACGGUAUCUUACCAGAAAGGGACGGCUAACUACGUG
rnacentral:rRNA from 1 species